rnacentral:rRNA from 1 species
AUUUAACACCUUCUUAUCCGCCUGGCCCCUGUCUGCUCGGUUUUGGGUUGGGGUGACCGCGGAGCAUAAAAUAGCCUCCACGAAAGAAGGGAUGAUUCCCUCAUUUUAGAACUACACUUCCAAAGACUAACAAAUUAAUUUUAAGUGAUCCGAUACCCGUAUUCGAUCAACGAACCAAGUUACCCUGGGGAUAACAGCGCAAUCUACCUCAAGAGCCCCUAUCGACAGGUGGGUUUACGACCUCGAUGUUGGAUCAGGGUAUCCCAGUGGUGCAGCAGCUACCAAAGGUUCGUUUGUUCAACGAUUAAAACCCU